rnacentral:lncRNA from 10 species
CAGCGCUUCAGUUAAAGACUGCAGAUGGUCUGGUAACCAAAACCGCUACUAAGUGACUAAGAGGCAGGUCGCAUAUACAUCAUGGAUACACUGGACAGAGGGGUGAUUCACAUCCCAGGCUGGAUGGAGUAAGAGGGCACAAGAUUUCAUCAUGCUACUCAGAAUGGUGCACAAUUUAAAUCUUACAAAUUGUUUAUUUGUGGAAUAUUUCCUUUAAUAUUUUCAGACUACAGUUGACCACAGAUAACUGAAACUCCCUAAAGUGAAAUUGUGGAUAAGGGGACUACUGUAUUAAUACAUAACCAGAGUACACACAAGAUGCCUUUUUUAUAGCUAUCCAUUGAUCUCCAAAUAUUGUUAUUCUCCAAUACGUACUCUACUGUAUCUGCAGAGCUAUUGCCCAACUGUGACGAGUUUUUUUUACAAAUCUCAAUGACUUUUUUAGUAGUAAUCUUACAUGAAAAGACUUCUUAUAAACUAGUAAUCAACAACUGAAUUUAAGGAGAAGCUCUAUAGCAAGACAUAAACUCAAAAACAAUAAAAAUCUUGAUUUAUCCAGAUAUUUAGGAAAAUAAUCAUUCAAGUUAGAAUUUUAUAGAAAGCUGAAUAUUCAUUCUUUCAAAAAACACAAAAAAGAUUGUUUUCAAGUUUAUUCAAAAGUAUAAUAAAUCACAAAUGUAUAGGCCAGUGAAUUUUCACAAAAUUAUCAGAUUUCUCUAACCAGUACCAAAAACAAAAGAACAAGUAUUACACCUACAAAACACCCUUCAUUCCUCCUCCAAAUUAAUUUUUAUCAAAAGGAAAAGCAUUAUUUGACUUUUAACAGCUCAGAUUAGCUUUGCCUGUUUUGUACUUUAUAUAAAUAGAAUCAUUUAUUAUGUACCUUUUUGUUUCUGGGUUAUUUUGUGCAUGCUUAUGAGAUUCACCCAUAUUAUUAGUAGUAGUAAUUACUUCAUUCUUACAACUUUUAUAUAGUUCAUUGUGUGACUUUUUUUAAUUUUUUUACAUUUUUUUAAAUUUUGGAUUUUUCUAAAAAAAGUAUUGCAUUGUUUAUCAUUAUAAAUAAUAUAUACUUAGAGUAUUUUCUUCCUGAUGCAGGUUCCUAAUUUUGAAGAUCAGUUACUCUCCUGUGAAGUAUAUGCUUUUAAGAACACUGGAGUAGUGCAGGGAUUUUGGCCCUUCAUCCAUGUUUUCUUUUGAUUUUAAGAAUUUUGAGUCAUCGUCCUUAUUUUCAUAUUCUAUCUUUGCUUAUUUUUUCCAGUUCUCUAUUUUUAUCUGUUAUGAUUUGGGAAAUAAGAAUUUUGAACUUAAUGAAAGUAAUGUCAACUCAUUUCAAACAGAGUUAACUGAAUAUUUACAAUUGGCCUAUAAAAACCGGCCCUGGGUUUAUGAGAUGGAUAAGAUAACAAAGUAAUUGGCUUACUCUCAAGGGCAGGGUCUCUCCAAUCAUGUUCAAUAAGGGAUGGGUUUUUAUUUUUCCUCAAAUCCUUGUGGACUGAUAGUUUUGUAAAAUAAGACAAAAAUAAGAUACUAGAAAAAAAUGAAAAAGUAUAUAAAACAUAAGCCUAUAUUAUUGAUUCAACAGGUAUCAAAUUACUCUGUCAAAAUAGUAUGUAGUUUUCUAAAUAUAUACUAUCAAUUUCUGUAUUUACAUCAUUGUAAGUCAGUAAUAAACAUUUUACAAAUCAUAACAGUCCAUGGACCACUACACCAAUCAGUAAAUUCUCCACAAAAUACUCUAGGUGUAAUCCUUGAUUACUUCUGGGUUUGUGACUUUAUUGAUACAGUCAUUAAUUAAAUUUUUAUCUUCAUCCCUAUUUGACCAAAUAUACAUGAAAAAAAUGAAAUUUUGCUUCACAGUAUUUCCUUUGCUGCCAAAUAUAAAGCCUUAAAUAACUGUUUAGUAAAUUAAUGAAAAAAUGAAUAAAUGUAUUGAUGGGUAGAUGGAAUGAAAUUGCAUGAAUCGUAAAUUCCCUAUUAACUGUUCAAAGAAUAUUUAAUUUCAGAUUUUUACCUGGGUCCCUAAUAACUAACUGAUAUUGUUGUGUUUUAUCUAUAGGUAACCUUGUUCUAUAGCCAUGUUAUAGUAUAAGUUGUUAUUUGUAGACAGGUUUAUGUAGUGUAUGGUGCUGUUGUCUCCUGCUCAAUAGAGACCCUUUCUUUCCCUCUAGCCACUCCUCUAAAGCCAUGUACAGUGGAGAUAUGUAUACAUCAGUUAGUGCUUUUAACCUUCCCCCAGCAAGUCAAUAUUUUCCUAAGAUUUAAAGAAGUAGCUGUUUCCUCCAAGGCUUUUUUUCUUAGUCUCUAAAUCUUAAGUUGCAAAUAAUGGAAUCUAAGUUUAAAACCAUGCUUCAUCAGAAAUACUCUCAAUGUACUAAUGGAACACAUUAUCAUUGCUGAUUAUUAUUUUCUCUAAUACCAUAAAACCUCUUGAUUAUUUCUAAUACUCAUAUAAUAAAAUAUAUUUUAUAUUGGUAACAUCAGGUAAAUAAGUUGUUAUGGAUAUCAAAAGUAUGACCAGUACAAGCCAGCGUUUUAUAUUGCCUCCCACCUUAAAAAUUACACUGUUACACAUUGAUAUCCCUGAAAACAAAUGUGUUAAUACAUAUCACUCUGAAUCAUUCACAGUGAUAUUACUCAAUUAAUUGUUUAUUUAAUUACCCUAUUUGGUAAUCAAAACAGGUGUACAGGAACCAUAUCAUGCAGUAAUUAAGCUGCACCCCUAUUAAUACGUGU